rnacentral:rRNA from 1 species
AUUGAACGCUGGCGGCAGGCCUAACACAUGCAAGUCGAACGGUAACAGGAAGCAGCUUGCUGCUUUGCUGACGAGUGGCGGACGGGUGAGUAAUGUCUGGGAAACUGCCCGAUGGAGGGGGAUAACUACUGGAAACGGUAGCUAAUACCGCAUAACGUCGCAAGACCAAAGAGGGGGACCUUAGGGCCUCUUGCCAUCGGAUGUGCCCAGAUGGGAUUAGCUAGUAGGUGGGGUAACGGCUCACCUAGGCGACGAUCCCUAGCUGGUCUGAGAGGAUGACUAGCCACACUGGAACUGAGACACGGUCCAGACUCCUACGGGAGGCAGCAGUGGGGAAUAUUGCACAAUGGGCGCAAGCCUGAUGCAGCCAUGCCGCGUGUAUGAAGAAGGCCUUCGGGUUGUAAAGUACUUUCAGCGGGGAGGAAGGGAGUAAAGUUAAUACCUUUGCUCAUUGACGUUACCCGCAGAAGAAGCACCGGCUAACUCCGUG